rnacentral:rRNA from 1 species
GACGAACGCUGGCGGCGUGCUUAACACAUGCAAGUCGAACGGGCCUUGUCCCCUUUUUUUUGGGGGUGGGGUUAGUGGCGAACGGGUGAGUAACACGUGAGUAACCUGCCCCUCACUUCUGGAUAACCGCUUGAAAGGGUGGCUAAUACGGGGUGUUCUGGCCUGCUCGCAUGGGUGGGUUUGGAAAGAUUCGACCGGUUUUGGUUGUUUUGGUGGGGGAUGGGCUCGCGGCCUAUCAGCUUGUUGGUGGGGUGAUGGCCUGCCAAGGCUUUGACGGGUAGCCGGCGUGAGAGGGUGGGCGGUCACACUGGGAGUGAGACACGGCCCAGACUCCUACGGGAGGCAGCAGUGGGGAAUAUUGCACAAUGGGCGCAAGUCUGAUGCAGCGACGCCGCGUGAGGGAUGGAGGCCUUCGGGUUGUGAACCUCUUUCGCCAGUGAAGAAGGUCCUGCUCUUUGUGGUGGGGUUGACGGUAGCUGGGUUAAUGAAGCGCCGGCUAACUACGUG